UUACGGCCAUAUCAGAUUGAAAACGCCGGUUCUUGCUACGAUCACCGAAUUUAAGCGACGUCGAGAAUGGUCAGUAGCUAGAUGGGUGAUCGCUUCGGAAGGCCGGGUGAUGUAA